UCUUUCUGUUUCUUCAUUGUUGGUGUAUAAAAAUGCAACCGAUUUCUGUACGUUGACUUUGUUCCCUGCAACUUUGAUGAAUCUUGGAUCAGUUACAGUAGGCUUCUGAUGGAGUCUGUAGGGUUUUCUAUGUAGAGUAUCAUGUCGUCUGCGAAAAGUGAAACUUUGACUUCUUCAUUGCCGAUUUUGAUGACUUUUAUUUCCUUUUGUGGUCUGAUGGCUGAUGCUAAGACUUC